AGAGAAAUUAGAGGUGUGUGUUCCAAAAUCAACCUGAUAUCGAAACAGUUGGGGGGCGUCCGUAUUUUCAAGGUGGCAAGAAGAGAGACGGUUGCGGCCCAUGAAAGACAACCUUGAAUUGCCAACAGCAUGCUUGUAGAACCAAUAUUGCAAAUGGAUAAAGAAUCUUUGAAUAUUGCUUUGAAAUACUUUCUCUUUGAAACAAGAAAACAAAAUGGCCCAGAAUAUCCCGCCAACAGCUUUUAUGCACUCUUCGCGGCGAUUGAGUCAGCACUGAGAGAGAAUGGUUCAGUCAUUAACUUAUUUAAAGAUGAUGAAUUUAUUGAAGCUCGCAAGUGUUUAGAUGCUGCUAUGCGCAAUCUCUCGCAGAAGGGUUUAGGAAGUUCCAGUAGGAAAAUGACUGAAACCAUAUCAUGUGAUGAAGAGGAAUUACUCUGGAAGAAUGGAUCAUUGGGUGAAGACAGUCCAAGACAGCUGCUUGAUUCAAUAUUGUAUCUCACAGGACUGAAUUUCGCCUUACGAGGUGGAAAGGAGCACCGGAACUUUAGACUAUAUUCCUAGCCACAAAUAACAGGGCCGCACGUGGAUGAGAAAGGUAGACGUUAUCUUUUGUACAAAGAAAAUGCCGAUCCAUCUAGAUGCUAUGUCAGGCUGUUUCAAAAGUAUCGUUCUCUUUGGUUAGUAUUUAUACUGUUACCUCACUAGAUGUAGCGAAGAUUUCAAUCUCGACCCACGUCCAAUAUCUAUUCACCUUGAUAGAAUAUUCAAAUGUACCUAUGAAUAUUUCCGAAAACUAAUCAAAGUUCUGAUUCUGUAUAAUUCAGCAGUUUGAAUUUUGUUGUGUAAAAUAGCUGCUUACUAUCAUAACCAUUUAAUGCACAAACACUGUUUCAGUUCCGAUGGAAAGGGCACAGACUACUUUUACUUCAGUCCAAUGAUCAAUCACCGUCCACAGAAAUGGUUCACUCGUCUACCAGUUGGGCACAAUACUCUACAGUCCACCAUUAAGAGACUCUGCAAGGCUGCUUGGAUUACAGGUUCGAAAACUAACCACUCUUUGAGAGCAGGUACCAGACCCUUCCAGGCAAAUGUUGACGAGCAAUUUAUUUGUGAAGUAACUGGACAUCGAAGUGAAGCUGUAAGGGCCUACAAGAGACCAUCUGCCGAUCAAAAGGAGAGGGUUUCUCGGCUCUUGACUGGAACAAAGGUUGCUCGGACAUCAACCAAAACAGUGACCGCUGAAGCAGAUAUCGUUUCCACUGUGCAGAAUGCGACAACUUCGACUUCUGCACCACUCGAUGACGAUGUUACGCGUGAAAAGUCU